UCGUCCGCCUUCAGGGAGUAGCGGUUGUUUGCAUUGAAACCUGUCCUACACCUACAAUCAUGCAAUACCUAGGGUAGGUUGCAGGCUUGCAGUGGGUAUUUACCCGUAGACAGGUACAGGCAUCAGCUGAACCAAGGGUGGUGGUGGGGAUUGACAAACGAAUAUUGCGAAAGUCACAAAACACAUUCUUUGUUUUCCAAUAGGUUGUAUCUGCGCUGGGUUCACAGAGACCUCGUAUCCGUGAUAAAGUAGGUUGCAUCUGCGCUGGGUUCAUAGAGACGUCGUGCCCGUGAUAAAAGAGUUUCAGUUAAAUAUGUCACUCUCUACCUUCGUCCUUCUGACAACAUUUGUAAGUUGUUGCCAUGGGGCCAAUAUACUUCUUAUGCCAACUCCAGCAACAAGCCACUCUCUGGAAAUUAUGUCCAUUGGGCAAGCUCUUCUGAAACGAGGCCAUGACGUUACCUUAUUGGCCGUCCUCUCUGAUACCAAAUCUUGUAUCGGAAGGUUAGAUAAGGAGGCUUUCAAGGAGAAAUUCAAUCUUAUUGUUCCUGAUCUGGAUCCAUCGAUACAGAAGGCACAUGAUGAUAUGAUGGCAACUGCUGGCAAACUCAUUUUUAAUCGAGAUGGUAUGUGGAAAUAGUUCUUGAUUUUCUGAAGCCUAUGAUCCAUAAUCAGUGUAGUGCUGCAAUGAAAGAUAGGAUUGUGUUAGAAAGGUUGAAAAAGGGCAAUUAUGACAUUGCCUUGGUGGCUCGAAUGCCUGGUUCUGAAUGUCUGUUUGCAAUCGCCGUCUAUCUUGGUAUUCCAACAGCUGCUGUUUGCUCCUACCUAGACCCCACCAACACUGGGAUGCCUCUACAAAGUAACACAUGUCCUCAUAUUACGUCUAGUUUCACCAAUGACAUGACAUUCCCUGAAAGACUUCUCAACACAUUAUUCUUCUUCGCCUUUCCUGUUGUGUUCAAAGUGUUUUACCAUCAGUGGACUACUCUGUAUUGGAUGAAAAUCUGGAAGGUGUCGACGCCAACAAUCUGGUAACGAAGUCUUUGCUUUUUAUAGAAAACUCCGACUAUAUCAUUGGCUACCCGAAAGAUGUGUUUCCGAAUUUUGUUCAGUGCGGUGAUCUGACAGCAAGCCCAG
rnacentral:misc_RNA from 1 species